rnacentral:rRNA from 1 species
GUGGGGAAUUUUGGACAAUGGGCGCAAGCCUGAUCCAGCAAUGCCGCGUGCAGGAAGAAGGCCUUCGGGUUGUAAACUGCUUUUGUACGGAACGAAACGGUCCGGGUUAAUACCCUGGGCUAAUGACGGUUCCGUAAGAAUAAGCACCGGCUAACUACGUGCCAGCAGCCGCGGUAAUACGUAGGGUGCAAGCGUUAAUCGGAAUCACUGGGCGUAAAGCGUGCGUAGGCGGUUUUGUAAGUUAGGAGUGAAAGCCCAGGGCUCAACCUUGGAAUUGCUCUUAAAACUGCAAGGCUCGAAUCUCGGAGAGGAUAGCGGAAUUUCCAGUGUAGCAGUGAAAUGCGUAGAUAUGCGGAGGAACACCGAUGGCGAAGGCAAUCCCCUGGGCCUGCACUGACGCUCAUGCACGAAAGCGUGGGGAGCAAACAGGAUUAGAUACCCUUGUAGUCC